rnacentral:rRNA from 1 species
UACGGAGGGUGCAAGCGUUAAUCGGAAUUACUGGGCGUAAAGCGCACGCAGGCGGUCUGUCAAGUCGGAUGUGAAAUCCCCUGGCUCAACCUGGGAACUGCAUCCGAAACUGGCAGGCUAGAGUCUUGUAGAGGGGGGUAGAAUUCCAGGUGUAGCGGUGAAAUGCGUAGAGCUCUGGAGGAAUACCGGUGGCGAAGGCGGCCCCCUGGACAAAGACUGACGCUCAGGUGCGAAAGCGUGGGGAGCAAACAGGAUUAGAUACCCUGGUAGUCCACGCCGUAAACGAGGUCGACUUGGAGGUUGUGCCCUUGAGGAGUGGCUUCCGGAGCUAACGCGUUAAGUAGACCGCCUGGGGAGUACGGCCGCAAGGUUAAA